CGGGACGGGUGAGUAAUGUCUGGGAAACUGCCCGAUGGAGGGGGAUAACUACUGGAAACGGUAGCUAAUACCGCAUAACGUCGCAAGACCAAAGAGGGGACCGUUCGGGCCUCUUGCCAUCGGAUGUGCCCAGAUGGGAUUAGCUAGUAGGUGGGGUAACGGCUCACCUAGGCGACGAUCCCUAGCUGGUCUGAGAGGAUGAUCAGCCACACUGGGACUGAGACACGGCCCAG
rnacentral:rRNA from 1 species